UUCGGAGGUCAGAGCUCGGCGGGGUGCGGCUAGUGGCGGAGCGCGCUGCGAGGGAGGGCUUUCCACUGUCGCUGGCGUGAACUCGCGUGCCCGGUGGAUAUCAGGGAAGAACCCCCGCCCCGGACCCCCAGAUCUGCUAUGGCCGAGGUAGCGAUCGUCUCUGCGGCCACGAAGACUGUUUUAACUUGUACCACUUUCCCUUCCAUUUUUCCUGGGGUGCCUCUCACCCUGCAUCUGCGCGUUCAGCAAGCUGGAUUUCGGGAAUGCUCAGUUCAGAAGAGAAAAAAUUGCCGGGAAUCAAGUCCUUCUUUUUGUUAGUCGGUAGUCGAUUGAUGGGAAGUGUUCAAAAUGAUUCGAUGUGGUGACAAGGCUUCACCAGGUACUGCCUUCUAACUUGAGUUGGCCAUUUCCACAUGUCAGAUAGGACCAACUUGCCUUUUAACUACCCGUGUGAUACUUAAACACUGUUGCCGGUAUCACAGCUUUUCUUCAAAACAGGAAGCAACGAGAAUGAGGGCAUUCCAGUAGC
rnacentral:lncRNA from 1 species